UACAGAGGUCUCAAGCGUUGUUCGGAUUCAUUGGGCGGAAAGGGUGCGUAGGCGGCGCGGUAAGUCGGGUGUGAAAUCUCGGAGCUUAACUCCGAAACUGCAUUCGAUACUGCCGUGCUUGAGGACUGGAGAGGAGACUGGAAUUUACGGUGUAGCAGUGAAAUGCGUAGAGAUCGUAAGGAAGACCAGUGGCGAAGGCGGGUCUCUGGACAGUUCCUGACACUGAGGCACGAAGGCCAGGGGAGCAAACGGG
rnacentral:rRNA from 1 species